UUUAUUUACGAUAUUUUUUUCUUCAAUUUAUUCGUGUCCUCCUUUUUGUUGUAAAAAAGUUGGUCACCUUAUUUUUAUUCACUUAUUUUUUUUCUCUCUGAAUAGUUAAAUGUGAAUGUUCAAGGGUGUUUUGAAUGUAUGUAAGCCAUAGUGUAUUGUAGUGAGAUGAUACUAUGUUAAUGUCGAAAAUAAAUAAUGCCAUAUGUGAUCUAUCUUCUCUAAUUUUAGCUAAUGAAAAACCUGGUCUCAAAGUACUUGUGGAUGAACUGUAAGAAAUUGUGUUUUUAGCAUUUGGUUUUUUCCCCUCUUAGAAUGCAAAAUGCAAAGUUGGAGGAUUGGAAAAAAAAAACAUAUGGAGACUAAUUCUGUAAAAGGAGAAAAUGUGUUCAGAUGGAAAUGCCCAAUUUUGUCUUUAUCAAAACUUGAUAUCUGAAUAUCAAAAAGUGUGGACUUGAGAUACUGCUCUGUGCAAAAAUCUCUCAAAACAAAACAAAAGACUUUCCUGUAAAUGGCCCUUUCACGGUUGUUUAAAUUUCUUAAUUGAGCAGAUUAAAAACACAUGAACCCUUUUCCCCAAUUGAUCAUUGGUUUUUGUGUGCAUGUUUCCAAAAAGUAAAUGAAAGCCACAAUAAAGGAUAACUACAAUAACAAUAAUCCAGGUAGGCGUUAUAUCCCUUAAAUCAUGGUUGGCUAAUGCUAUGAAGUUACUGUAAUUCAGUUAGAACAAUUAACCAGUGGAACAACCUGCCUCCAGAAGCUGUGAAUGCCCCAACACUGGAAGUUUUUAAGAGACUGGACAGCCAUUUGUCUGAAAUGGUAUAGGUUUUCUGCCUGAGCAGGGGGUUGGACUAGCUGACCUCCAAGGUCCCUUCCAACAUCAUCAUCAUCAUUAUUAGCGUAGAACUGAACUCUGUUUCUGUCAACUGUCUCUGGUUUUGAUAUGAGUGGCAAAGUGAUGGCAGAUUUAAUGCAAGGUCUGUGCCAUUUCUCUCUAGGUUUAUUGUCUUUUCGUUUUUUGUUAAUUUAUUGACACAUUUAAUAAGCACACUAAAAACUAAUACAAACUAAACUAGAAGAAAAGAGAAAAGGAAAAGUACAGAAAAAAAGAAAAACGUAGAAAAGAAAAAAGCAACAAAGAAAAUAAUAAAUAAAUGGCUUCUAACCUUCAUCACACUGAGCAUAAGCUAAUAUACUAAUUUUUUAAUCCUCUUUUGAAGCAACAAAUAAAAAAAUAUUUUCUCCCCAUAGAUUUUUAUCUAUAUAUAAUUUAGAAAUCAUCAUCUUUUUAAUUCUAGUUCAGCAAAAAAACAAUUAGGAGUCACCAGAAAUAUCAAAUGGUUUAUCUCUGAUCAAAUAAUCAAACUUCAUAUUCCUUCUUUUUGCUUUGCACAAUCUUGACCUUUAAAUUAUUUCUGUGACAUCCAGGAUUUGAUCUUUCAUCAUUCUUUAGCAUUUAAAAGGAGUUUUCAAAGCUUCUAUCAGAUUACUUUGUAAAUCCCAUAAAGAGGCUUCAUCCAGAAUUUUUUGUUACAGCUGUUCAUGUCAAGGUCCUUUUCUUGAUUUGGCUUUUGUAUUCCCAUUUUAGUAAUUUCAGUUUUGCUGUCUUCCAUACCUUCAAACUCUACAAUGUCUAUGUCAGGUAAAAAAUUUAAAAGUUUUCUCACCAUGUGCUAAAAGUUUAUCCAUUGAAAUCUCUAUUCUUUCUGAGAUCUUAGUUAUUAAUAUUUCAGUCCAAUUUAAAAAAACUUUUUAAAAAUAAAACAAAGUUAUACUGUAGCCAGCUUAGUCAUUUUAAUUCUUUUUUGCCUGGUUCUUUAGUUCCCUCUAGUGUCCAUUUGCAAUAUUCAUAAAACUUCAGUUUCUAACAGGCUUUAAUGCCAUUUCAGUCCAAGAGUUUAUUAUUUAGUAGUUAUAUAUUUGCUUUGCAAGUCUUACAGCAAAAAUAACCAAUAUUCCAAAUCUCUCUGAACUCCCAAUCUGUUUAAAACUUUCUUAAAUCAAAACUUCUUUUUUGCCUUUGGCUAAUUGCAUAUUAUUUUAAAUUCUUAAGUCUCUGCUUAAAAUUUCUUAAUUCUGAAGAAAGUAAAACUCACUGUGUGUCAAAUUAAGCUUGCUGUUUUGAAGGUCUCUAAUAUCCAUAACGUGGUUAAAUUGAACAUUUCUAAAUGUAUUUAGAAAGUGAGUUGGCUGGCUUUAUAUCCUUAUGAAAGGCCCCACCACUGUGGAGAUGUUGUCUCCCCUAACUUCUAGUGCUGAUACCUGCAGGAGACUGUUUCAUGAUCUCCUCAUGAGGCGUUGCCAUUCAGAGCACCUGUGAGAAUCUCCCAAAUCUCUCUUUCUCCAGAGAUUUAAUGGACUGGUCUACUUGCUGAUCUUUUCUUCUUCAUGGUAGUCGUCACCUCCACUUGUGGUCAGUCAGGCAUAACUCACACUGGGAGCUGCUUCAUUGUCUUUUUAUUAUAUUUUCACUAAGUGGACCAACUUGCACAUCUUUGUGUGACUUAAGAAAAUUAAUAUAUUUGAUUAUUGUCAUUCUGUCAAUGUGAAUAUUUUCAAUAUAGAUUCUGCAUUUUUCCUUCACCAGGCCAGAUUUAGGAAAUCAAGAACCAUAUGAUUCUAAUUGGUGUUACUGUAUUUCUCUCUUUGCAGAAGCAGGAUGAAGCUGAAGAUGAAUUGGAAAUUGCUAUUGACAAUACUGCUUUCAUGGAUGAAUUCUUUUCAGAGAUUGAAGAGACUCGGCAGAAUAUUGACAAAAUUUCAAAGAACGUAGAUGAGGCAAAGAAACUGUACAGCAUUAUCCUGUCUGCUCCUAUCCCUGAACCAAAGACAAAGGAUGACCUGGAGCAGCUGACAGCAGAAAUCAAGAAAACGGCCAAUGCUGUUCGAAACAAACUUAAAAGUAUGGAGCAGAAUAUUGAGCAGGAUGCGGCUCGAUCAUCAGCUGAUUUGCGGAUACGGAAGUCCCAGCAUUCAGUUCUUUCCCGAAAAUUUGUGGAGGUGAUGACUAAAUACAAUGAGGCACAGGUUGACUUCCGGGAACGGAGUAAAGGGAGGAUCCAACGGCAGCUUGAGAUCACUGGAAAAAAUACAACAGAUGAAGAACUAGAGGAAAUGUUAGAGAGUGGAAAUCCAUCAAUAUUCACCUCUGGGAUCAUGGAUUCCCAGAUCUCGAAGCAAGCGCUGAGUGAAAUUGAGGGACGACAUAAAGACAUUCUGCGACUUGAGAAUAGCAUCAAGGAGCUUCAUGACAUGUUUGUGGACAUUGCCAUGCUGGUAGAAAAUCAGGGUGAAAUUGUAGAUAAUAUAGAACUCAACAUGAUGCACACCAUGGACCACAUAGAGAAAGCACGUGAGGAAACCAAGAAGGCUUUAAAAUAUAAGAGUAAGGCACGCAAGAAAACAAUAAUUAUCAUUGUGAUAAUAGUAGUCUUGCUGGGAAUUUUAGCUCUCAUUAUUGGACUUUCAGUCGGACUGAAAUAAAAGUAACCAGCUGGGUUUCUGGCACUGAAUCACAUUCCCAAGCUCCUUCUAAGUCAGUAGCAAGAUUUCCCUUCUUGAACUUCAAUGCCAUGGUUUGUGCUUUCCUUCCCUACCUUGCUUGGAUGAAGUAUGAAUGAUGCUGAGUGCAUUUGCACUCGGGCUUCCUGUGAGAGCCAGACUGUUCCAGUUCCAUUGCCUGAAGACCCUAAUGUACCUUCCUGCAACCAGAAAAUCCAGAAAUCUCAUGGCAUUCCAGAGAGAAGUUCUUGUCUGAUCUGCUCCUUAUCCAUUCCUCCUUUCCUUCCUGAUUUACCUGCUGGCUUCAACUGAAGGAUUUCUUGUGGAAUGAUCAACAACACAGUGGAAAUGGAACUUAAAGGAAUUUGGGGAGCCUUAUUGCCUACCUCACUGCUGUAAUUUAACCCUUUCAAAAAUAUUGUACAGAUUAUUGGAGAUGUCAGAUUAUUACUUUCAAAAAAAUCCAUGUUAGAACUAAGACUUAAACCACUAAGUAACUCCUAAUCUUUAUCCCAUUUUAUACUCCACAGGCUGGAGCAGAUUUUGUAUUUUUUACAGAAAACAUGAGAUGAUGGCCCAGAUUCCUCAUCAAGUGAGGAAAGGAACACUUAAGGGUAGCUAUGAACAUGAGUCUGCAGUCAGUCAAACCAUUCUUGGAAGAUGCAACAGAUUUAAGCAAACAAAUAAAAUUCAGGGACUCCAGAAUCGCCAAGGUGUUCAGUCCAUGUUUUAAAUCAGGCCAAUAUCUGUGUUUUGCAUUAGAGGUGAACUAUUAGCACUCACACCCUUGAAAUCUGAGUUGCUUGUGUUUUAUUAACUACUCAGCUCAAAUGUUUUGGUAUAGCCACAGAUAUUCCAUAUUUUGGGAACUUAGAACUGAUCUGAGUAAGAAGGAAGACCUGUCUUCAAAUACUCAUUAACAAAGACACUCCUUGGGAUAUAUAUUACUUCAUACUGGAUAGCUCCUUUCACUUGUGGAAUGCAAUUAUAUUUCGGAGGUGCUGUAUGUAGUGGUGUAUGCAAAAUAUUUUGAGUUUGAAAUAAUCCAGUUUUGAGUGGUUGCUCUGAGUGCACUAAAGUUGUUUGACUUUGGAAGCAAAAAUGAAUAUGUCACCAUUUCCAGUACACUUGAAACAAUCCAUUUUAACCCAACAUGUUUUUGUACAGCUCUAUUAGCAAAGUUUAAUUUCCUUCAAAUCAAAUACUGAAGGCACAAUUAUACCUCUUUUUCUGAUAUAUAUAAUUGUGUUGAUGUCUAUCUGUCUGAGGACAUGAAGAUUAGGGAAAUUGUGUGUGUGUGGAAGGGUUUUUUCUGUUUUAAUAUUUUAAAUUUUGUACUGACGGUUUCUGGUUGAUAAAUGUUGCACCCAUCACUGAACUUGCUGUUUGUAACCUGACCAAGGUUGGUAGGGCAGAAAAACUGGUCUGGAUAAAAACAUUGGGUUUAGUUGAUGUGGCAUGGCAGCUGAGACCGAUAUCUACCAUCUAAUCUCGUUAUAAAAAUAUUUUAUAUUUAUAUGCUUGGUAAAAUCCUUCUGUUUUGUUAAAGAUGAAAGAGAAAGCUUUCUUUUAUGAAUACUGUUAUAGCAUUAAUAUUUUUUCUGAUAGAAAUUCUCAUUAUUUUUUAAAAUCUUUGUUUUUGUACACGAGAACAUUUUGCUGUGAUUAAAACUUGUGUGCCCUUUGGUCUGCUCAAAAACACCUGUUCCACUCUUAUGGUGGUAUCACUCAUGGAAAUGGAAAGGUUUGUGUAUUGCUUAAAAAUGUGUGAAUUUUUUUAGUUGAGAGGGUACAUUUUUGUUUAUUUAGAGAAGCUAGUUAUAUCAUCAGAAGAGUGCCAGGUUUUUCCCUGGGGGAAAAGUUAACAAUUGUUGUUGUCUUCAAAAUCAGUAUAUUUGCUGCAUGGAAAUCUACCUCAGAGUUUGAAUCAACCAGAUUCUCUGCUUACACCUGAUUUUUUAUGUGAGGCUGUAGAUGACUCAUUUUUAUGGCAGAUUUGGGGACUCUGGCAGUAGUGUUUUAUGCAGGUUUAGAGAUCAGCAGCACAUUCAAAUUCUAUAGAGAUCAUUUUCUUUCUAAUUAAUUACAUGAGACAUAAUAGUCCUUUGAUUGGAACCGAAGAGAAAGUGAUUCCCAUUUUGUCUGGGAAGAUUAGUAGACUACCUACUAAUUCCUAGCAAAAUCUAUCAAUUUCUCCACCAGUUCCACCAUUUAAGUCUUAGUUUGUCCAGCCAUGGUGGGUAGAUAAACAAUGUACAUUAUUUUCAGGGUACACCGACGGAGCUAAGAAAGCGUAGUGUUCUCUCUUGGCUUUGAUGCCUGUGACUUGCAAAUGAGGGUGGCAGUGAAAGGACCAUUUAUGAAAGCUAUCUGUAAAGAUAGAAAACUGCACUUCAACAUACUAAGCUGCCUAUGGACAGCAGAGAUUCUAGGAAAUUGUUUUUUGAUGAAACUUUUUAAAGAAAUGAAUAAAUGAAUUAUUGGAACAUCGGUCUGUAAUUUUCGUGUCUGUCCACUGAACUCCUGAAGCAGUGGGUAUCACCAUACAAUUAAUUUUGAGGAACAUGUGCUUCUUUUGGCCUGUAUCCUGUUUGCCAUAUGGUUGCAGGAAGGUGUGGUAAGAAUGACUGUAUGAACACAGAGGUACUCCCCUUAUGUAUUUUUAGGAUACCAACCUGAGCUGAAUAUUUUCCUCUCGCUGCCAGUAAUUAUAGAGAGAUGUCCUGGUAAAUGAAUGCACGACUAGAAGUAACAUUUUGGAUAGUGCCCUUUCCAUCUAAAGCAGAGGUCCCCAACCUUUUGAGCACUAGGGACCGGUUCCGUGGAGAGAGGUUUUUCUGCGGACUGGGGUGGUGUGUGGUUUCAUGUACUGCCUGCAUCCCGUGGAUGAGGCUUUGUUUGCACAGACCGGUUUCUGGCAUGCCACAGCCCAGUGCCAGUCCACGGACCGGGGGUUGGAGACCCCUAAUCUAAAGCAACUUUGGAUUGUACAAGUCCCAACGUGAACUGGGCCCAAUAGUGUUAUAUAAAAAGAGCUUGGGGAGACCAAAACUCAAUGAAGAAAAUGUGCAAUAUAAUCUGGGUCUGUGAAAGAAUAGCUUGUAUCUUCUUCAACUCCUCCGUGUUGUCUCUCAAUCUUCCUAUUGUACAGUCUAAAAUCACACUAUUACAGGUAAUCCUUUACUUACAACCAUUUGUUUAGUGACUGGUCAAAGUUACUGAAGAAAGUGACUUACAACCAGUCCUCACACUUAUGAUCAUCGCAGCAUGCCCACAAUCACACGAUGAAAAUUCGGAUGCCUGUCAACUGGCAUGUUGUUUAUGAUGGUUGUAGUGUCCCAGGAUCACACGACCACCAUCUGUGACCUUCCCAGAGAGGCGCUGGCAAGCGAAGCCAGUGGGGAAAACUGGAUUCACUUAACAAAUACAUGAUUCACUUAACAACUGCAAUGAUUUGCUUGACACCUGUGGGGAAAAAAGGUUGUAAAUGUGACCCACUUCCAUUGUUUAGCAAUGGAAAUCCUGGUCCCAAUUGUGGCUGUAAGUUGAAGACUACCUGUACUAUGUGACUCAUAUAAAAUAAGCCCUGUUCUCCCUUCAAUUCUAUCACCACCCUGUUUGUUAAUAUAUCUGGGUAUUUUUUCCUCUUGCUGAGCAGAAGAAGAUAAUGAUUAUGUUAUGCUGCAUCAUCCUCAUCAUUAUCCUGGCUUCUACUGUUGGGAGCUUCUUUAUGUGAACACUCCUUCCUUGUUCUUUGCCAUUUGUCUCAGGAUGGACCUGUAAGAUGAUUUUGGCCUUUCAGGCUUCCCCAAUCCUUUAUCUCCUAUUCUUCCACUUUUUGGAGAUGUCAUAGCCAAUGAUUAACCUAUCAAAAUGUCUUAGUUGGUACAAAAAGGGGAAAGAUACAAAAAGAGGAAGGAGGAGCCAGAAUAAAGCAAUGAUUAGAAACUUCAGCUUGGAACGGGGGAGUGAACAUUAGAACAUAGGGGUCUUUUUUGUAACAGUCAACCAACCUCAACUAACCUAAAUCUUGAUUGAUUGGUCAACAUUAAUACUUAGGUUUUAUGGGAAUUCAUUACCAGUUAUGCUGGCUCCUUCUACCCCAGUAUAAACUUUUUAGAAUUGAAAUCAAAUUCUUGGCAGAUAUUUGAAAUGAUUCUUAUGGAAGAUGACAAUAAUCUACAUAUUCCCCUGCCUUAUCUUUGCUGUCAAAAUUUAUAUGCACCUCCUUGCUUUGAAAUGUGAGGGGCUUUCCCUGGCUAUACUUUCUGCUUCUAAGACUCUCAUAUAAUGAUAUGAAAUUAGAUAUCUAGACCAAGAUCUGGCCUAUAUUUUCUCACUUUUUGAAUAAUAUCCAGAACAAUCUUUGUAAACCUUGUGAUUCCAGUCACAGAUAUGUAUAUAUUUCUAGCUCAUUUAAUUGUAGGAUGGUAAAUUCUGACCCAAGCUGCAGCCAUUGGUAACGGAGAUCAGGCUCUAAUGUUCAUAAAAAUUUGUUUGGACAUAAACUGUAUCAACAUAUUUUUACAUACUGAAUUAAUACAUUUAUUACAUACGGAGAGAAAGUUUGUCUUUUAUUUAAAGAAUUAAAACUUAUUUAUUCAA